rnacentral:lncRNA from 1 species
CCCCUCUAGGCCAAUCAGGUCCUUUCACCUACCAUAGAAAACUAGUGAACAUACCCAUAUGUCGCAAUGUGAUGUUCAGAUUGCUGCGUGGUUACCUAUAUGACGUGAGAUUUUCGUGAUCAUGUGAUGCAUUCAAAUUCGUCUAUGAAUCAAACUCGGUACCGUGUCUGGACGUGUGAUGCUCUCGCACAUCGAAGAGUGCGUUAUGAACCGUGGCCGCCUACCUGCUUUGAUUGGUGGGGGCGGCUCCUCCGUUGUGGGUGAACGGGAAACCCGACUCUACGAACCCGAGGAAAGGCUGCACAGCUUUCGUAGGGUCGUUAAGACCGGAGCUUUUUUAGUGCUAGCAGGAAUGCUGGACAGACAAGAGAAGAAGUGAGAAGGGCAUAACCUGGAGUCCGUCUUUUCUAGGUGCGCAUCUCUAUCUACUAAACGAAAUGUUAUCAUGAAUCCCAAUUCGUUUUAUUAGGAUAGGACUUUGCACGAUGCCUAAACACUUUACUACUAUGGAAAUAAUCCAAAUCCUAAUUUUGUUUUGAAUUCGGAUUCUGUAACAUGCAUGGCAUGCUACUUCUAAUCUAAUUUAUAUAAGCACCAGAGAGAUUGAAUCCGUCAGAUGAUUGUGAGCAAUGAAGAAUGAAUAAAAAAUUUGUUCUUUGAUAUUAAUUUAAUUAAUAAAUAUUUGAUAUAUAAAUAUUGGAAGGUUGGGGAUAGAUAUCGGUACUGCUAGCGCUUGGACGUCCGAGCCGGAUGCUAGCAUCCGGACGAUGACUUUACUAUGUAUCUUCACUGCCCCCCCACACAGAAAAGAAAAAAAAAUAAGAAAAGUAAGAUGUGAACUUGACCCCACUCGCCCUCGCACGGAGAAAAAAAAACUAGAGGUAUGAACUUACCCCGCCCACCCCCAUAUGGAGAAGAAAGGAAAUCGUCUCUUCCUCCGCUCCCUACGCAAGGAAUUAGUCCCAUCCCUCACGCAUAGGAUCUACCCGCCCCAACCUCCCUGGAACCCUAUCACCUCCCCCCAUCGCCAGCUCGCACCCACAGCCCACCCCCCUUACUGGUGCAACUUUAAACACCAUGAAUACGUUAUUGCAACAUCGCUAAGCAAACUAUUACAUCAAUAGAUUGAAGCAGUUGAAACACCAUGAACAUAUAUAUUGCAACAAACAAAAAGAGACAACAGCUGCAAUAUUAGGAUGAAAAAGCUGAAACACCUUGACACAUAUUAUUGCAACAAAAAAAACAGUUGAAAUAUUAUGCUGAAGCAGCUGAAACAUCAUGAAUAUAUUAUUGAAACAACACUGAACAACUGCUACAACAACAUACAACAAUUAUUAUAAUAUACAGAUUGAAGCAACUAAACACAUACUACGUGCAUCUCAAAAGUAGAACUGCUGCAACAAUAAUUGAAACUCACGACAAUAUCCUGAGAGAACCAUUGCAACAUGAAGAGAUCUUAGAUUUAGAUGAGAAGUAAGAAUGAUACUUCUGCAACAACAAAACAACAUAACUACAACAGUAGAAACAAAGCGUACUACAAUAGAGCUCGCUGGAACCCUAGCAACCAUUGUGUCCCUCAGAUCUAGAUCUAGAGGAGGAAUUUGGAAUGCAACAUCAGAAAAACUUUUGCAACAAUGAAACAACGCUACUGCAACAGUGCUCGUCGAAAUCCUAGCCACCACUGCAUCCCUCAGAUCCAAAGUACGAGAGCUCAGAUCCAGAGGAGGGGGAGGAGGAGGGGAAGGAGGAAGAGGAGGAGGAUAAGGAGAGCUUAGAUCUAGAGGAGGAGAAAAGAAGAGGAAGGGUCAGAUCCAUAAAAGGACUCACCUAUCUCGCUGGAAGUUGUGCCAUAGCCAUCAUCUCUAGUGGUAUGAAGGUCACGAAAGAGAAGAGGGAGGCGGAGAGAGAGGGAGGGAUGGUGUGGCUCGCGGGAAGCUGCCACCGUCACCCUCCUCUCCAGUGCCAUAGAGGUUAGUAAGCGAGGGAGCAUGAUGAGGCGAGACAGUGGUGAGCCAGAUGCGAGCAUGCUCCAUCCUAGUGACCAGCAGUGAGC